rnacentral:rRNA from 1 species
GGACUACCAGGGUUUCUAAUCCCGUUUGCUCCCCUAGCUUUCGCGCCUCAGCGUCAGUAGAGAUCCAGCAGCGCGCUUUCGCCACCGGAGUUCCUUCCAAUAUCAACGCAUUUCACCGCUCCACUGGAAGUUCCCGCUGCCCCUACCUCCCUCUAGACAAGCAGUAUCCAAGGCACUUUUCCGGUUAAGCCGAAAGAUUUCACCCCGGACUUGCUCGCCCGCCUACGCGCCCUUUAAGCCCAGUGAUUCCGAACAACGUUCGCACGGUUCGUCUUACCGCGGCUGCUGGCAC